GUAGGCUUUUGCGGUCGCUGAAAAAUCAGCGACCGGGUCUGGAAACCCGAGGU
rnacentral:ncRNA from 1 species